AGUCACUGAGCUAACCCGCAAGGGAGGCAGGUGCCGAAGGUCAGCUCGACAAUUGGGACUAAGUCGUAACAAGGUAGCCGUAGGGGAACCUGCGGCUGGAUCACCUCCUUUCUAAGGA
rnacentral:rRNA from 1 species